AUUGAACGCUGGCGGCAGGCUUAACACAUGCAAGUCGAGCGGAGAUGAGGUGCUUGCACCUUAUCUUAGCGGCGGACGGGUGAGUAAUGCUUAGGAAUCUGCCUAUUAGUGGGGGACAACAUUCCGAAAGGAAUGCUAAUACCGCAUACGUCCCACGGGAGAAAGCAGGGGAUCUUCGGACCUUGCGCUAAUAGAUGAGCCUAAGUCGGAUUAGCUAGUUGGUGGGGUAAAGGCCUACCAAGGCGACGAUCUGUAGCGGGUCUGAGAGGAUGAUCCGCCACACUGGGACUGAGACACGGCCCAGACUCCUACGGGAGGCAGCAGUGGGGAAUAUUGGAUAAUGGGGGGAACCCUGAUCCAGCCAUGCCGCGUGUGUGAAGAAGGCCUUAUGGUUGUAAAGCACUUUAAGCGAGGAGGAGGCUACUGAGACUAAUACUCUUGGAUAGUGGACGUUACUCGCAGAGUAAGCACCGGCUAACUCUGUGCCAGCCGCCGCAGUAAUAC
rnacentral:rRNA from 1 species